CACAGACCUGUGUACACACAAAUUGACUCCAUCAGGAAGUUCAAUCUGGGACUGCUCUGUGGCCAUAUAUCCUAGGUUAAUUGGUAGUUCAUGCAUUCUUUCAUAGGAAGAAGAUUCUGAAACAAGUUUCUGAGAAUACAAGCCUGCCCAGUAAAAGCUGUACAAGGAGUAGCCUUAGCCUUCAGUGAAUUAAUGUAGUGGUUUCAGUAGUGACCUUUACAAACACAACUUCUAGUUAUGCCAUGCUAUGGGUGAUUUCAGUUGCAUUAAUUGGCACAAAGUUGUAAAUGCAACAUUUAUUACAGGCAUAAAUAAACUACUGAGCAGACUCAAACACCUUCACUUUAAUUAUAGAAACUGCAUUGAUCACAUCUAACUGGGGCUGGUAUUUUAUUGAUGCUUCAAUGCGUUCUAGGCACUAGUUUUAUUUCAACCACUCUUGCUUUUAUUUAUUAAAAAAAAAAAGAGGAGGAAAAAGUACUUCUUGGAUUUACAUUUCUCCUGUGGCUAGAAGUAGUGAUUACUCUUUUGUUGUGAAGCCAUAAGUAAUGCAUAGGCUUCCUACUACUACUUUCAGGGAAGGUCAUUUCCUUUGACCCUAAAUCAUUGAGUUUGGAUUACUAAAAUCAGAAAUUAUUCAAUUUUUAUGGAAACGUGAUCAGUCCCCUUUUUUUUCUGUAAUGGAGAGUAAAUCCAAUAAUAGAAUGAUCCAAGCAAGUGCUGGUCUCCUGCUGGAUAUGGUGGUGAGCCAUCCAGGCAGUUCCUGAAACUGUUAGGCUUGCAUUUGUGAGAUAUACUUUAUUCAUUUGAAAUCUCUUCACACUUCUGUAGAUGAAAUAUUUAACAAAAUACAUCAAAUAGCAAAGGCUGGCUGUAUCACCUUUCCAAUUUUUUUCUGCAUGUAUUUAUCUUCUAAUUAAACAGAUGAGUUUUCUGGAGGAAAUUACACUAAUUUCCACUUAUAGACAGACUUCUAUAGUAAUGUUGACUUACAUUGCCUUGUGUAGGUGUGGUUUCUGUGAGAACAGCUGUUAUCUUGGCAUGGAGAGCUUUGACAGUAAACCUGAGGCACAGCUGGAUUAUCAAGUUAAAUUGUGCAAUUUGAUGGCAAGCUCAGAUGCAGCUGUAGAAUGCAGUUUAGUAGUAUUAAUAAUUAAAUUAUAAAUUGGUGUGAUAAAAUCUAAUAGAUGGUUGUAGUUCCAGUUGAUGCUAGAACAGUGUUAGUUGUAUAGUACUCUUUUUUUCAAUUUUUUUAAGUGCUGAUCUCUUCUUUUCCAUAAGUGUUAGCAAUAAGAGACAAGCUGUCACACUGCAUGGCUGACCUGUGCUUCUCUCCUGUGCGGCUGCUUGUGAGCAGAACACCUGAACCACAGAUUUCCUCACCCAAACUUUAUUUUAAUUAAAAUAAACUCAUUGAGAUUUGGAUGCAGCAGGUCUGGUUUCACCUGCACUGUGAAGAAAGAGCUUUAUGACAUACUUUAUUUAGACAGUCUUUUGAUGAAUCCUGCUUGGCCCUGAAGUUUUGCUGGUGUUUAAAUUAGUGACAGACAGGAGUUGUACUGAAACACAAUGCUUACUUUUAAAAGAUAAAUUCAUUGCAGUUUUCUUAUGCAUACCAGUCCCACUGAAACUGUAGGCACUUAGGGCAGUGCUUUCCUGUCCCCUGAGCCCUACAUUAGGUGAUAGUAAAAUAGGCUGAGCUCAUAUUGUCAGCUUCGCAGCCUGACUUGUAAGUGGUGCAGCACAUCCUUAAGAUUUGGUGGUCUAGGGCUUAGUCCAAAGCAGCUGAAAGUCUUUUGGAGCUACAGCAAGGUGGUAGUUCAGCCAAGUCACUGUUCUGAGAUGCUCUGUUAAGUAAAUAUGGUCUGGGUACAAGAAUGCAUCUUCUUUGUCAGGAUUAAAAUGAUGGGUAAUACUUUAAAAAUAAUAACAAUUAAAAAAAUGGAGCUAUUAUGUUGACUUACUCAUCCAAGUGUCAUGCGAAUUGCUUACUAAGGGUGGAGUUUGCUAAGGUCUAAAGUUACCCUCACAUAGAAGUGCCUGUAUUCUGUUAUUGCCAUUCUUGAGCUUUUUAAGAGAGUCACAGCCAUAUAUUUUAUAAAUAUAAGCAUAUGCACCUUUCGAUCUUUAAAUUUGCAGAACAAAGGUUUACAGAGCAGAAGUGUAGCAAAACCAAUGUACUAGCUUCUGUAAUUCCCCAGUGGGGGAUGGAGAAGUACAAAAAAUGGGGAGGAUCAGACUAUCUGUAUAAGAUGUCUUAAUUUGGCACCAUAUAUUCAUCCAAUUUAGUUCCAUCAAGCUAUGUGGUUAUAAGAGUGCCAGAAAUAUAUCUCUCAAGCCAUUCUAAAUAAAAAGCUCUUUGUGGACCUGUAUAUUCCAUUUGUUUGUAAAACAUUUUUGUGCACUGUAACGAACUUGAAAUGAAACUCAUACCACUGAACAGAGCUCUGUUCAGCUACCUCGACGUAAGGUUGAAGUACUUUGGUUUUUUUCCAGAUUUGUUCACAUUGUCAUAUAAAAUAUUUUUUAAAAAAAUUCAUAGUCCAAAGAUCCUGUAUUUGUUUGUAGAUGUACUUACAAUUAUGUUGUACCAACAAAGUCUGUGUGAAGCGUUGUUUGCUAAUUAAAAUUUUUGUGUUCUUUACUCCUUGGCUUGCAUAACAAAGAACAUCAGCUGUGAACCUCUGUGGCACGCGAGCUGCUUUUUUAGGUGGUUUAGAAAAAGGAACAAAGAACAAAUCCUAGGUUCUGCAGCCACGCAGCACUAUCCGAUGUGAAGGAAGGAAGGCGGUUGCCCAAAACUCAGCCUUUGUAAGGGACCCCCCAGAGCACUUUCCCUCUUUGCUGUAGAAGAGAAAGGGCAAUGGGAAGUGCUGAGAGCCUGGCUUCCAGCGCUGUGUGCUUCAGUGCCUCCUGUGCUGUUUGCUUUAGUGAGUUGCCUCUGUUUCUGUGAUUAAAAACAAUAGCUAGGCUGCCUUCCAUGUGCAGCCUCGGCCAGGAAAAGUGAGCCCUAGCUGCUUGUUAAGCUAUGCCUGUGGACCCAUGUAAGCAUGAUAUUUAGUAAGAACCCCUCAGCUAGAAGCUGCAUAGCACUUUUGAAGUCCACAGCUUGCAGAAAAAGCUGAAAAAGAGGACUUAUAUUCAUAAACCCCAAGACUGAGAGAACAGCUCCAUGGUUUAUCCUACUGAAAAUGUGGAAGAGUCACCAAAGUUUAGCUUUUAGAGAUAUGUACGGGCUGCUCCUUUACCUAGUUGCCAAAGCAAGCUGCGUGCCAUGGCUGUGCUCUGCUGCUCCAAUCCUGUCACCUAUGGCACCAGAGAUCACCUCACUGCUCUCUUAUGUAAGCUUGCUCAGGUCCUGCAUUUAUUUUAGAAUCCAGGGCACAGCCUGAAGGCUGAAUUUAGUAAGGCAACAGCUAAUUAUGUCAGGGCUGUGGUUUUCUAUAACAAAUAUUUGAAUCUGAGCUGGGAAGUAUUUUGGUUGAAGUGCUUUUCCAUCAGGAAACUGCCAAAGCUGAAGCUUUGCUUGCGAACACGGCAGGUAAAUUAUUCCUUUCAGUUCUGUUUUAAUUCUGAAAGCCUUAAUUAAGAAUGGUUUUUAGUUGUAGUUUAAAGCAGAAAAUAAAUAAGUAAAUAAAACAAAUCUAGGGUAGCAAAUGUAUUUCCCAACUCUAUUUGUUCAGCACACUUUAAAAGAGAUUUAUUCAACAGACUCAUGAAGUAGUCUGAAGUCAAUUACUUAAUGUCUCACUUUAAAAUGAUCAUCAAAAUGGCAAACAAUCUCUAUGGUGUAAAGCAGUUCCUGGGAAAGGACUGCCGACUGCCUCCUGUCAGCCUUCACUGCCCCAUGUGGUUCUUAAUGCUGCAGCCAUUGUGGCUGGGCUGUGAUCAGGGCUUGGCCCACAGCAGUGCCUGGCUGUUUUGCCACCACUUUGAGCACUCAGGCAUCAAGCUGUAACGUGCUGUUCUCUUAAUGAAAUGUCACAAAGUCCUGGGACAUCUAUCAGUGUGCUGUGGUUCUCCAUAGGACUGAGUUAAAGUGCUGCAACAUUUCUGUCUUCAAAUGUGAGGCGUGCUGCCUGCCGCCAUCUUGGCCACGUGUGCAGAGGGAGAGUAGAAACUUAGUUUGUAAGGGACUGUGGGGCUAGGCUUUGUUGUCGCUGUCGUUCUUCAAUCCGUGUUGCUUUCAAACUGAGUAAAUUUUCUAUCAGCUGCCACUAAGAACUCCAGAAAUCACACAACAGAACAGAUGAAAUAGUUCUUCCUAGUGGGUAGUAAUGUGACCAGGCCUUCUUCCCCAGCUGUAUUAUAACUAGCUGCUCAGCAAAGCUCUAUACUGAUGCCAAAAAUGAACACACAGAGGCAACCUGAGAACCAGAGCACCAUCGAAGAGCAGGGUUUGUCAUGCAUAGCCCUCAGCUGCCACACACUGAAUGGUUUACCUCUUCUCAUGGACAGCUUUCAGGUUGUUAAAGCAAAGCUGACAGCCUGAGAGAGCGUGCCGUCACUAGCAGCUUUGUGCCAGCACGGCAUCUUCUCUCGCAGUAGAUCUGCUCUUGACUUGUAAUGCUAUAAGUGAAAGGAGAAUUAAGCUAUUUAUGUAAGUGACUUUAUUUAUAUAACUGACUUAUGCUGUAUUAUAUGAUGAAAAAGGAAAAAAAAAAGCGGCUUUUUUUUUUUUUUGUCAUUUCUAUGAGCUGCAGGAAGAUUUUGUAAAAGUAAUACUAGUAAUAAAUGGUUUUCU
ensembl:lncRNA